CGUCCUCCUUUUCCAUCUCGGACCAGCUCCUCUGCUCGACGAUGGAAUGCCGCAUCUCUUCUCUCUCUCUCUCUCUUUCCUUCUCUCUCCUGCAAAACUGGUGGCUCUGGUUAUCUGGACUUCCAAGCUUCCAGCUCUCCACCUCUGGUUAUCCAUAUUCGCUGGUGAGUCGGUGACAUUGCUGGUUCACAAUUUCAAUCGAAGGCUCGAACUCUUCCUCUUGUUGUGAAGCCGCAAAGCAGAAAUUUUGGGUUCGAAGCUUGGUGAUUCUUCAAGCUCGAUUUAUGGGUUUUGGAUUCGUUGAAGUAUCGAGCUCGUGGUCAACUGGUCUUGCUCUUGGAGUCUUGGUUCGAUUCAGAAAUCUUCAAGCUCAGGAUCCAAAGGAGGAGGCUAAAGCAGAGACAAGAGAUUGGAUAAACACUGUGGUAUAUAAC